UUAUCCCAGUGGGUCUGCGAGCAUGAGUGGAAUUUACCAGGCUCUGCCCAGGUGGGUCCAGGCUUGCCUCUGCUAGUCUGGGAUGGCCCUCCAUAAUCUGAGGAAUGUGAAUGAGAGAUGCCUGGCCUACCCAUGGUGGACGAGGGAGAUGGACUGUUAUAAGUGGUGUACACACACACACACACACACACACACACACACACAAACUACCCACACCCACCUUUAUCUCCAGUGCCAGAUGACCCUCUUGUCUCCAUGCUGAUAUUUAGCAGAAGGACUCCAGGCCUUGGUCAGUGGCUCUGUUUUAACCACAACUUGUAUUUUUUACACAUUUUUUACGGAUUCAACAAAAGAUAUAACAUGUUCAUUAGUGAGUGCUCAAGGUGCCGGUAGGGAAGAGUGCAAUGGAUCCCAUCCCAUUGGGAGGACACGUGUCUUGGCACAAAAGUGCAGUGCUGCAGGCAAUAUGUUUCCCCAACAGUACUGGUCUCAUGUUGGUGCGGUACAAGGAUUCACUCACUCCAUCAAUAACCCAUCAGCAUUGAUGGGUGCUGAGUACACAACAUCAAUACCUGAUCUUAAAUUCAGUGGGUCUCUUUAUGGAGCAUGGGGAGGAUGCCCAAGGCCUGUGUUGCAGCUCUUUUUUUCUUUUCAUGAGGCCUCAGCCUGAAUUGAACCUGGACUGCUGAGUCACCGAGCGCUUGACGGUGAAAGGCAGAGAAAGAGAGCGGGGAGAGAAGGGAGAGAUGAAGGAGAAAGAACUCGGCAGGUGGUGGGCACUGCCGCAGCUUCAGCCCGCGGAGUCUUUUCAGCUGGCACACAACUGCUAGGCUGCCACAGAGGCCCUGCUUUCCAUCAGAAUAUUCCCCCUCUCUUCCCCCUCUUUAAACGAUAAACGAGGAGAACAGGCUUGGGCCAGAAUAAUAGGAUCCUUUCUUUCUGCCUCUGCCAUGUGUGAGGACAGGAACAAUGGCAGGGACCGGGAGGGGAAAUGAUUCAAAGUGAGAUUUUCACCUGCUCCCUUCAACCCCGGCUCUACUCCUUUCAGAGCAUGCUAAUGCCAGUUCAUUUACAAAGUAGUACUGUAAGCUGUAUCACACAGGCACACACAAAAAUGCAGAGAUCCUUUUUUCUCUUUGUGAUGGACAGUUUAGAUUAUUGUGCUCCAAGACAUCCAUUUUGGUAAUCAUACUCAUUAUCAUCAUUAUCCCAUUUUCAGAGCUAAAUAAGAAUUAGGGACUGGCUGAUCUGCUUUGAGGUGCAGUCUUUGUUUUUGGUUUUUGUUCAGUCAGAAUGGCAGUUGUGAAUUUUUCUUCCACUUUAUUUUGUGAGGGGAUGCUGGUGGUUGUCUUUAAGAGAAAUCUGAGUGGCUUUGAGUAAAUGUUUCCUGUCAUCUCUAAAAAGUUUUGCAAUACUUAUGACCUGAUCCAAGGACAUGUAAGAAGGCUGGAUGCCCUUCACACCUAAUUUGAAGGUUCUUCAAAAACUAACUUAUGUCUGUGAAGUCUUGGUGCCUUUUUGAAAAUUAGCAACAGUUCUCCUUCAUAAGGAGCUUCAGUCUAGGGAUGAAAAUAUUGCUUAUUAAGUGACAAAACAAUCUCACCUCUCUCAGUCUCAGCUAAAAUAUACCCAGUUGUUGCGGAUACAUAGAUGUUCAAAUUUUAUUUAUUUACUUAAUCUCCCUAGCAUAUCUUGUCCACAUUGGCUUGAAAGUUUCAGCAGCCGCAGACAAAACAUUUUAAAACACUAGAAAAAAUCAUUUGUGUCCUGGUGCUGAGAAAGUCUGAUAGAGUUUAAAUAGGCCUUGAGGUGAGAUUGUUUUGUCAGCUGUUGUUCUCAAGGUCAAUGAUGACCUUUAAAACUCAAUUGAUCACUCAAUCAACAGGAAAAUUAACAACAAUUUUGAUAUCAUUUAGGUCAUUCAUCAAGCAAAAAUUUCAAACUUCUACAUUCAAUAUUCUAGAUCCAGCUUGUCAAAUGUGAGCAGUUGCUGCUUUUAUCUGUUUUAUAGUGUAAAUGAAAAAUCUUGGACUAUUGGCCAGAUGAAACGAGUAAACUGAAGACGUCAUCUUGGGCUCUGGAAUACUGUGAAGGGCAUAUUUAUGAUGUUUAAUCAAAUACACCAUUAAUUAAAAGGGGAAAAAGGAAACAGAUUAAUUGAUCAUGAAAUCAAUUGCUAAUUGCAGCUAUCCUUCAUUUGGUUAACAGGAGUCUAAUAUUAAAGCCACAUUUAGGGCAAACAUUAAACCUCUUCACAAUGCAAAGUGUCCUCUAAAUAUGAGGUCAACCACUGUUCGCUACUGUUUCUCAUUCAUUUGCUCUCAAUAAUGAGACAUACAGUACAAUCAAGUCAUAAACAGUGCAAGGAAAUCAUGAGGGGAAAGGUAUUUGUCUCAGAGCAAUCAGCGUCAUGGGUAAACUCAUUUGCUCUCUAAUCUCCUCCCCUUUGUACUAAUUUGUUUAUCUCUUCCCCUCAGUGUAUGUAUGUGUGUGUGUGUGUGUGUGUGUAGGUGUGUGUUUAUAUUGCGGUUGUAAUUUCCUUUUGGUGGUGAGUGAAUUAAAACUUGCUCCUAAUUUAUCAUU